rnacentral:rRNA from 1 species
UACGUAGGUGGCAAGCGUUGUCCGGAUUUACUGGGCGUAAAGAGCGCGCAGGCGGUCGUUCAAGUCGCGUGUGAAAGCCCCCGGCUCAACUGGGGAGGGUCACGCGAUACUGAUCGACUCGAAGGCAGGAGAGGGUAGUGGAAUUCCCGGUGUAGUGGUGAAAUGCGUAGAUACCCGGAGGAACACCAGUGGCGAAGGCGGCUUCCUGGCCUGUGACUGACGCUGAGGCGCGAAAGCUUGGGAUGAGC